GCCUCCGUGGUGUAGUGGUCAGCACGCUCGUCUCGUAUUCGAAGUUCCGCGGUUCGAGUCCCGGCGAGGGCA
rnacentral:tRNA from 1 species